rnacentral:lncRNA from 1 species
UCGUCAUCGUCGUCGUCGUCGUCGUUGUUCUCGUAAUAGUCGUUGUUGUCAUCGUCGUCGUUAUUUUUGUUGUUGUUGUUGUUGUUGUUGUUGUUGUUGUAGUUGUUGUUGUUGUUGNNNNNNNNNNUUGUCGAUGUUAUCGUUGUUGUCGCUAUUGUCGUCGUCGUUGUUGUUAUCGUUGUUGUCGUUGUUCCCGUCAUUGUCGUUGUUGCCUUAGUUUUCAUCAUCGUCGUCGUAGUCACCGUCGUCGUCCUCGUCGUCGUCCUCUUUGUUAUUUU